rnacentral:rRNA from 1 species
GGACGUUACUAACGACGAUAUGCUUUGGGGAGCUGUAAGUAAGCUUUGAUCCAGAGAUUUCCGAAUGGGGAAACCCAGCAUGAGUUAUGUCAUGUUAUCGAUAUGUGAAUACAUAGCAUAUCAGAAGGCACACCCGGAGAACUGAAACAUCUUAGUACCCGGAGGAAGAGAAAGAAAAUUCGAUUCCCUUAGUAGCGGCGAGCGAAACGGGAAGAGCCCAAACCAACAAGCUUGCUUGUUGGGGUUGUAGGACACUCUAUACGGAGUUACAAAGGACGACAUUAGACGAAUCAUCUGGAAAGAUGAAUCAAAGAAGGUAAUAAUCCUGUAGUCGAAAAUGUUGUCUCUCUUGAGUGGAUCCUGAGUACGACGGAACACGUGAAAUUCCGUCGGAAUCUGGGAGGACCAUCUCCUAAGGCUAAAUACUCUCUAGUGACCGAUAGUGAACCAGUACCGUGAGGGAAAGGUGAAAAGCACCCCGGAAGGGGAGUGAAAUAGAACCUGAAACCGUGUGCUUACAAGUAGUCAGAGCCCGUUAAUGGGUGAUGGCGUGCCUUUUGUAGAAUGAACCGGCGAGUUACGAUUUGAUGCAAGGUUAAGCAGUAAAUGUG